ACAUACGACCAUAGACCCAAGAGAAUUGGGCAUCCCGUCCGCUCUGCCAUACACAAGCUUGAGAUCGGUGGAUUAGUAGUUGGGUGGGUGACCACCAGCGAAUACCCACUGUUGUAUGUU
rnacentral:rRNA from 1 species